AAAAAAAAAAAAAAAAAAAACCCUUUAACAUACGGUAUAUGAAUUUUCUAUUGGGAAUUUGGGAUUCCUUUCUAUUUUAUUUCUCCUUUCACGUUUCAUACUUUCAUUGUUUCACCUAACAAGGCCAUAGAAAUGGAGAGAGAAGAAAAAGAUGACGGCGAAGAAACCUAACUUUUAAAGGAUUGCUUUCAGCUUUCCGCCAUUUCCGAUUUCGAAGGCAUCUGAAUCAAUUGUUGCGUGUAUUUACAAUUUGGUAUGCCGGUAAUUGCACUUUUAAUCUGAUGGGAAUGUUUGUUCUGAAUUUGAAAUUAUAUUUGUGUUGUUGUGAAAA